rnacentral:rRNA from 1 species
GACGAACGCUGGCGGCGUGCUUAACACAUGCAAGUCGUACGAUGACCCGGCUCUUCGGCGCUGGUGAUUAGUGGCGAACGGGUGAGUAACACGUGGGUGACCUGCCCUGCACUCUGGGAUAAGCCCGGGAAACUGGGUCUAAUACUGGAUACGACCAGUGGCCGCAUGGUCUGCUGGUGGAAAGCCCUUCGGGGUGGUGUGGGAUGGGCCCGCGGCCUAUCAGCUUGUUGGUGGGGUGAUGGCCUACCAAGGCGACGACGGGUAGCCGGCCUGGGAGAGUGGCCGGCCACACUGGAACUGAGACACGGCCCAGACUCCUACGGGAGGCAGCAGUGGGGAAGCUUGCACAAGGGGCGAAAGCCUGAUGCAGCGACGCCGCGUGAGGGAUGACGGCCUUCGGGUUGUAAACCUCUUUCGGCAGGGAACAAGCCUGGGGGUUUUCGUCUGGGUGAGGGUACCUGCGGAAGAAGCACCGGCUAACUACGUG